rnacentral:lncRNA from 1 species
CCCAAUGGUUGCUAGCAACUAUGCUCCUAUAGCACCCAUCCAAACCUAUAAUGGAUCUACAUUCAUUUAGAAAUCCCAUCUUGCAUGCAUCAACGCAAACAUAUAGCCUUUAGAAGAUUAGCUACUCCCUUUCCCUAGGCAAGGUUUCCAUAAGCAUGGUGCUACCUAGAUUUUCCUUCUCGACGAUGUCUUGGUACUCUUAGAGCUUCUCAUAUUACUCACUAUAUGACCCAUAAAUGAC